ensembl:lncRNA
UAUUUUUUUUUUUUUUUUUUUUUUUGGUUCUUUUUUUCGGAGCUGAGGACCGAACCCAGGGCCUUGCGCUUCCUAGGCAAGCAGUGUGAGAACAGACAAGAAGCAUAGACCAAACUAGAACCUCUGCAUCACAGAGCAAGCAACAGAGUGGGAAAGAAAGAGAAGAAAGAAGGGAAGAAAGAAGAAAAGAAAGUCAGCCAAAAAUCCUCGCCUGGAUUGAGGAGGGGCGCAUGAGGCUACCCCAGGGUCAACUCUUCCUUCCUCACCAGAAUUCGAGUCGGAUCUCUCAUGAAUGUCUUGGUCACUUCUAGCACAUCAGUUGGCGUGUGGCAGAAGGCAACAGAACCUGAAUACUUGUAUUUAAUUUUUGGAAAAUCUCAUAGAUCUGAUCCUUAAACCCUCGGUUCAACAUUUCAUGUGCUUCAUCCAAAACAAACAUUUUGAUCCAUUUUGGAGAAGGGGAUCUUCUGUUUAGCAUACCAAACACUCUCCCGGGAGUACCAACAACAAUGAGGGGCUUCAGCCUGCAACGUCAGCACUUCAUCUCAAACAUUGGUCCCUCCAAUGCAAGCAUGACAAGGUGCUCCCAUAUAAUCUCCAAGAGCCAAAAUGACCUUUUGGAUCUGUUGAGCCAGUCCUCUGGUGGGGGCCAGUAGUAGUGCUUGGGUCUCCUUGAACUCAGUCUCCAACUGCUGCAGGGUGGAAAUAGCAAAUGUGGCUGUCUCGUCAGUACCUGACUGAGCUUGAGCAAUCACAUCAGACUCUUUAAUACAAGGGAUAACGGCCCUCUACUGAAUAGCCGAAGACUUCUUAAAACCAUAAGGAUAGCUGCCUCGAAGAAGGCACUCUUUAAAUUCAUAUCAUCAAAGUUAUCAACAAUUUCAUUCCAGUUGCUCUUGAUGACACCAUCGGGGUCCAUCCCCUCUGGGCCUCCAUGUUCUCUGUUGUAAUCUACGGAGCCACCAGACAUGACCUGAAAAACCCACUCACCGACUCCAUGCUUGACCUUCUUAAACAAAAUAAUCUUGCAAAUUUAAUAAGAUAUGCUGAAUUAUUCAAUUCAAAGGAACAGUCUUAUGUACUGUACAUGAAUUACAUUUUGGUUUCUCAUGUAAAUCUGUAGUUAUCACAUAGUCUGUAUUCAGAAAUCUUAAACUACAUUUCCAGGCCCCUAGAGAGUUACCUUUCCAGAUAAAAUAAUGUUUAAAGGUAUCAAAGCUGCAUUACUGAAUUAUUGUACUUGCCCCAUAAAUAUGUACAAUUAAAAAGUGAAAUAAAAUUUGAAUGGAAAAAAUAACCAAAA